AAAAAGGGACACCAGCACCAAAGCUUCCUUAGAUGCAGUGGGGCUGGGCUCCAACUUGCACGGUGCGCAUGGAAAGCAUGCACCUAGUGAGCUAUUUUGACAGCCCUAUUAGUUUCUGUUGUGGUUUGGUGUUUGUUGUUUUUUUUUUUUCCCAGAGACUCUUGUUUAUGAUGAUGUGGGGUUUGAAUCUGGGACUUUGGAACAUCAGACAUGAAAGUCUAAUAACCAUUAUGCUAUCUGCUCAACUCUAGUCUUGUUUUUAUUUUUGCACUGUACAGAUGUUCAUUCCUUUUGCCCUUUGUGACUGAUUCUGAUACUAACUGUAUUAUUACAUGUUGUUUUAUUAUGACAGAUAUCUUCUGUGGACCCAACCUCUUUUGAUCAUCUUUCAUAUUAAAGUAAAUUUAUUCCAGUA